GGGAGCCGCAGGGAAACCGAGUCUUAACUGGGCGUUAAGUUGCAGGGUAUAGACCCGAAACCCGGUGAUCUAGCCAUGGGCAGGUUGAAGGUUGGGUAACACUAACUGGAGGACCGAACCGACUAAUGUUGAAAAAUUAGCGGAUGACUUGUGGCUGGGGGUGAAAGGCCAAUCAAACCGGGAGAUAGCUGGUUCUCCCCGAAAGCUAUUUAGGUAGCGCCUCGUGAAUUCAUCUUCGGGGGUAGAGCACUGUUUCGGCUAGGGGGUCAUCCCGACUUACCAACCCGAUGCAAACUACGAAUACCGAAGAAUGUUAUCACGGGAGACACACGGCGGGUGCUAACGUCCGUCGUGAAGAGGGAAACAACCCAGACCGCCAGCUAAGGUCCCAAAGUCAUGGUUAAGUGGGAAACGAUGUGGGAAGGCACAGACAGCCAGGAUGUUGGCUUAGAAGCAGCCAUCAUUUAAAGAAAGCGUAAUAGCUCACUGGUCGAGUCGGCCUGCGCGGAAGAUGUAACGGGGCUAAACCAUGCACCGAAGCUGCGGCAGCGACACUAUGUGUUGUUGGGUAGGGGAGCGUUCUGUAAGCCUGCGAAGGUGACCUGUGAGGGUUGCUGGAGGUAUCAGAAGUGCGAAUGCUGACAUAAGUAACGAUAAAGCGGGUGAAAAGCCCGCUCGCCGGAAGACCAAGGGUUCCUGUCCAACGUUAAUCGGGGCAGGGUGAGUCGACCCCUAAGGCGAGGCCGAAAGGCGUAGUCGAUGGGAAACAGGUUAAUAUUCCUGUACUUGGUGUUACUGCGAAGGGGGGACGGAGAAGGCUAUGUUAGCCGGGCGACGGUUGUCCCGGUUUAAGCAUGUAGGCUGGUUAUCCAGGCAAAUCCGGAUAAUCAAGGCUGAGGUGUGAUGACGAGGCACUACGGUGCUGAAGUAACAAAUGCCCUGCUUCCAGGAAAAGCCUCUAAGCAUCAGGUAACAUCAAAUCGUACCCCAAACCGACACAGGUGGUCAGGUAGAGAAUACCAAGGCGCUUGAGAGAACUCGGGUGAAGGAACUAGGCAAAAUGGUGCCGUAACUUCGGGAGAAGGCACGCUGGUGUGUAGGUGAAGUCCCUGCGGAUGGAGCUGAGACCAGUCGAAGAUACCAGCUGGCUGCAACUGUUUAUUAAAAACACAGCACUGUGCAAACACGAAAGUGGACGUAUACGGUGUGACGCCUGCCCGGUGCCGGAAGGUUAAUUGAUGGGGUUAUCCGUAAGGAGAAGCUCUUGAUCGAAGCCCCGGUAAACGGCGGCCGUAACUAUAACGGUCCUAAGGUAGCGAAAUUCCUUGUCGGGUAAGUUCCGACCUGCACGAAUGGCGUAAUGAUGGCCAGGCUGUCUCCACCCGAGACUCAGUGAAAUUGAACUCGCUGUGAAGAUGCAGUGUACCCGCGGCAAGACGGAAAGACCCCGUGAACCUUUACUAUAGCUUGACACUGAACAUUGAGCCUUGAUGUGUAGGAUAGGUGGGAGGCUUUGAAGCGUG
rnacentral:rRNA from 1 species